rnacentral:rRNA from 1 species
AUAAGUGCAUGUGGUGGAUGCCUUGGCGAUUACAGGCGAUGAAGGACGUAGUAGCCUGCGAAAAGCUGCGGGGAGCUGGCAAACAAGCUUUGAUCCGCAGAUGUCCGAAUGGGGAAACCCGGCCCGUAUGGGUCAUCCCUUGCUGAAUACAUAGGCAAGGGAAGCGAACGCAGCGAACUGAAACAUCUAAGUAGCUGUAGGAACAGAAAUCAACCGAGAUUCCCAAAGUAGUGGCGAGCGAAAUGGGAUCAGCCUUGUACUCUUUAGCAGUAUUGCUAGCAGAACGGAAUGGAAAGUCCGGCCAUAGCGGGUGAUAGCCCCGU